CCUACGGGUGGCAGCAGUGAGGAAUAUUGGUCAAUGGACGAGAGUCUGAACCAGCCAAGUAGCGUGAAGGAUGACUGCCCUAUGGGUUGUAAACUUCUUUUAUGUGGGAAUAAACUGUUCCGCGUGUGUGCUUUUGUAUGUACCUUAUGAAUAGGGAUCGGCUAACUCCGUGCCAGCAGCGGCGGUAAUACGGAGGAUCCGAGCGUUAUCCGGAUUGAUUGGGUUUAAAGGGAGCGUAGGUGGAUUGUUAAGUCAGUUGUGAAAGUUUGCGGCUCAACCGUAAAAUUGCAGUUGAAACUGGCAGUCAGGAGGACAGUAGAGGUGGGCGGAAUUCGUGGUG
rnacentral:rRNA from 1 species